UACGGAGGGUGCAAGCGUUAUCCGGAUUCACUGGGUUUAAAGGGUGCGUAGGCGGGCAGGUAAGUCCGUGGUGAAAUCUCUGAGCUUAACUCAGAAACUGCCAUGGAUACUAUUUGUCUUGAAUAUUGUGGAGGUGAGCGGAAUAUGUCAUGUAGUGGUGAAAUGCUUAGAUAUGACAUAGAACACCCAUUGCGAAGGCAGCUCACUACACAAUGAUUGACGCUGAGGCACGAAAGCGUGGGGAUCAAACAGG
rnacentral:rRNA from 1 species